CAGUGGGGGCAUGUCGAGAAAAAACUAGGAAGGGGAAGGAGCAGGGGCUGCUGAAGGGUUAAAGGCGGCCUGCAAGGGGGCAACAAGAAUCUUCCUCCCACCUCCAGAGUUAAACACACCUCUCCUCUCGCUUCUUUCUUGGCAGAUUGUUGUCCACUUUAUCCAUUUACUUAAUUUUCAGGUGUUCCAGGAAGCCUCAGAUCAGUGGAUUUUCAUCACCAGUUGUGCAAAGAGAUUCCAUGCAGCUGACUUGUCAAACAUCUGAUAGUAGACCUGCAGCUCCUAAUUGCACAGCGUUCUAGGGCACAAGAGUGCAGGUCCAAAUGAAGAAAAACAAGAUCCUUGACUUAGGGGCAUUUAAGAUGUCUUUGGGGAGGUAAAACAAGGCAAAAAAACGGCAGGGGUUUAGCAAUGACAUGGUUCAUCCUGAUGGAUACUGAUUCAUGGACAACAAAAACAGGUUCUACUAUUUCUUCCGCCUUGAGACUGCAAGGUUAGUUUAAAAAAAAAUUAACAAUUUCAACUAACUCUCCAAUAAGGAUGUUUCUGAUUUACUCCAUAUUGUGCAACCAAAAAGAGUAAAGAAAUAAAUUGGAAGCAGAGGUUGAUGUAAA